UACGUAGGUGGCGAGCGUUGUCCGGAUUUACUGGGCGUAAAGGGUGCGUAGGUGGUUUCUUAAGUCAGAGGUGAAAGGCUACGGCUCAACCGUAGUAAGCCUUUGAAACUGGGAAACUUGAGUGCAGGAGAGGAGAGUGGAAUUCCUAGUGUAGCGGUGAAAUGCGUAGAUAUUAGGAGGAACACCAGUUGCGAAGGCGGCUCUCUGGACUGUAACUGACACUGAGGCACGAAAGCGUGGGGAGCAAACAGGAUUAGAUACCCUGGUAGUCCCUGAG
rnacentral:rRNA from 1 species